GACGAACGCUGGCGGCGUGCUUAACACAUGCAAGUCGAACGGAAAGGCCCUGCUUUUGUGGGGUGCUCGAGUGGCGAACGGGUGAGUAACACGUGAGUAACCUGCCCUUGACUUUGGGAUAACUUCAGGAAACUGGGGCUAAUACCGGAUAGGAGCUCCUGCUGCAUGGUGGGGGUUGGAAAGUUUCGGCGGUUGGGGAUGGACUCGCGGCUUAUCAGCUUGUUGGUGGGGUAGUGGCUUACCAAGGCUUUGACGGGUAGCCGGCCUGAGAGGGUGACCGGCCACAUUGGGACUGAGAUACGGCCCAGACUCCUACGGGAGGCAGCAGUGGGGAAUAUUGCACAAUGGGCGGAAGCCUGAUGCAGCAACGCCGCGUGCGGGAUGACGGUCUUCGGGUUGUAAACCGCUUUCGCCAGUGACGAAGCGUGAGUGACGGUAAUGGGUAAAGAAGCACCGGCUAACUACGUG
rnacentral:rRNA from 1 species